ensembl:lncRNA
CUCAAUCGCGUUGUGCUUGUUUUGUCCAGCAGAGGGGGCUGCUCGCUAUAGCAGCUUAAUUCACUCUUCUUCUUCUACUAACUACUUGCUCGCGAUACUUUUAGAGAAAACUGCUGUGGAAAACUCGGCCAGAAGCUAGAAAGUGUCAGGUGAAUCCACAACAUCACCACAUGAUAGAUGAUCUGCUCUAUAAUGUUUUAAAUAGGUCAUGCUAGCUAACGUUAGCUAUGUAGAUUAAGCUGUUAUAGCUAGGUUAAAAAACGUUCACAUGUAAACAUGCAGUGGACGGGCUAUUUUGAAAAUAUGAUUGUAUUAAAUGAAUGCACAAUUAAUUCUGAGAAUAUUUUUGUAGAUUACAAUUUUAAUGGUUUGGCAUUAUAUUAAGUAGUGUGGAAAUAUAGUUAGAAAUGUCCAUGGAUAACAUUAGCAGUGGAGAGGAAGGAGAGGAGGAAGACUGGAUAGGAAGAAGAGUGAAGGAGACAGAUGAGGAAAGAUUGGAGAGGAAGGAGAAGGAAAAAUGAAGGGAGUAAAAAGAGUGAAGCAAGGAGAGUGUAGAAGAGUGAGGUGGAAAGGUGAAGAGAAGGAAAGGAAGAUGAGUGAAGAAAAGAGGAGGAGAAUAAAUAGUUAAGAGAGUAAUUAAGAGUGGCACAAGCAGAGUGAAGAAGAGCAGACAGAGGAGAUACAAUGACUCUUUCCAAGAAACACACUUUUUGUCAUAAACAUGAUGAGAGAAUUUCCAUUUCAUACGCUCAGGUCAAGACGAUAGAAUUGUUCACUGCAUCCUCUCUUUCAAUAGGCAGCCGGUGAAGAAUGGCAGUGGUAGAACAUCAGCAGACGAAAAAGCAUAAAGCCUCUGAUUGCCCCGUGUUGGUAUGUCCUCUGUCACCACAUUCUUCAAGAAGGUAGAGCCUUCCCAAGAAUAAUAUGGUUUAGCUGUGCAGGAGGAUGUCUUUGCAUACCACACUAUGUGACACAAUCAUAGUUACAGAUCUAUGGACUGCACAGCACAACUGACACGAAAGCUUUAUGAGCCGAAGUUUACAUGUGCUAGGACAAAAUGUGACGCCAUAGUGAACACAGGAAACACAGGACCUACACCAGGUUGAAUUUGUGUCCCUGUCCAUUGACGCAUCCAAUCAUGGACAUGUAAAGCUGCUGCCAAUAGUAGUCAGAUAUAAAUGAUAGCAGCACAUCUGUGGAAACAAAACUGCCUGAUUUUGUUGAAUUGAAUGGAGAAACAGCAGAUGAAAUUGCAGCUGAGGUCCUGGUGGUCAUCCAAAAAUAUAACCUGGAUAACAUUCUCUGCCGACAACAUUCUCUCCCAACUUUUGAGGACUGAAUAGGCUGGGGAGGUCUUAGGUUUUCCUGCCCACAUCAUUCAUAACAUGGCCAGAACAGCUUUGGAUAUGAUGUUGAGUAUCUGCUCACAAAGAUAUUUGAAUAUGUUCUUAUUUUCACUGUCAGAGUAGAAAGACUGAAGGGCUUUUGUGAGUUUGUUGGCCAGGAGUACCAUAAUAUUUUAGGACACAGCAAUGUUCGCUGGAUGUCCAUGCUCCCUGCUCUAGAAAGAGUGCUGAAAAUGUGCCAUUGAAAUCCUUUUUUAUUUCUGAAGACAAAUGCCCUGUUGUCCUGCAAACAAUGUUUGAAGAUCCACUGACUGAACUUUGGCUGGCAUUUGACCAUGGAAACGCGACUGUAUUCAGUGACACGAUCAAGAUGCUUGAAGGCCAGGACCACUGUGCUGUGGACUACGCUGCAAUUCUGAGAAACGUUGAGGCAAAAUUGACUGCAAGACGUGAUGACAACUUCAUCCCAGUGGUCAGAGGACUUCUGAGAGAGCUGGAGGAAAAUGGAGCAAUGUCUAAAGAGAGCUUUCUCAAAAUAUCCCAAUCAUUCUUCACUAUGGCUGUGAACUACUUGCAAGCAUGGGGAAAGCACACAGAUAAUCUAAAAGAUUUACAUGGUCUCCUUUUAAAAAGGCAACCUCUGCGUGAAGAGAUCCAGAAGGCAGCAGGCACACUGCAGGAAAAAUGCCCCAAUGUGACCAUCAAUGAGGAUGCAUUGUGUGACGAGGUUACUGGCCUGCAAGAGUUCCUAAAGGGGGGAUCGCUUGAAGAAUGGAAAACAUCUGCGACACCGCUUAGUCAGAGAAGGAGCACGGUGGUUAACCACUUCAAAGAGAACGACAUCCCACACACUAACCUGGCUAGAUUAGCGUCUGUUGUGUGCUUACCUAGAAGUAAUGCACCGGUCGAGAGAGUGUUCUCCCAAAUGAAUGAUAUAUGGACAGCAGCAAGAAAUAGGUUCACUGUUCCUAUCAUCAAGGCCAUGCUUAUUGUGAAGACAAACUUUAACCUCCCCUGCCAGGAGUUCACAGAGAAGCUGUCCAAAGACCUGAAGAAAAUACAUUCUUCUGAGAAAUAUACAGAUUAGGUUGGUAUAAGUAUAUUAUGUAGUUACCAAUCUCAUCAGCAUCUUAUUUCUUUAUUAUGAUAAGUAUUUCACAUAUACUAUUGUCUGUUUUUUUCAAUUUUGCUCAUGUUCUCUUCUGCUCUUCUAGCAGGACCACUGAAUGGCUGUUCAGAUCAGUUCUGUCUUGUCUGUAGUGUUUCUGUAGUAUAGUUGUUUUCUCUAUCACAGUGUGCCUGUUAGACUAAAUACAUGAAACUGGAAUUGUCCCCCUUUUUUAUUUCAUAGAUAAUAACAUUGGAUAUUUUAAUGAUAUAAUGACCACCAAACUGGAAAUGUCCCCGGUUGUCAUUUCAGAAAUCUUAGUAUAGAGGUGCCUGCCAACCUAAAGUGCUGGUCAGCUGUAGCCUAACACAGUGUCGGCGGUGGAAACUAGUAACGCGGUGAUUUUUCCCCUCCUUGGAUUAUACAGUAUUUCAAGUCAUUUUGGUAGCCAUCUAGAUGUCACCGAUUCUACUCAAUUGGGAGAGCAUAAAUGGCAAAAACACUGGGUGUCACAACCUUUAGCUGUCACAACCCUGUGUGAUUCGGUUCACUUGACUCAUCUGCGCGACAUAAAUCAUAUUUUUGUGGGGCAGGAUUGUCAAUAUUGCCUCUCCGACUAACCAUUUGGUGGCACAGCUAGAAAGGAAAAUGUUAUGAGUCUGGUAAAAUAAUCUGUGAUAUUGUGUAGGCUAUAGCAAUGUUGUAUUAGUUUGCUCGGGUUUGAAGUAGGUGUAUCUAGCUGUCUUAUUUGUAUUUGUUCAAUGCCUCAAUUGAUUUCAUAAACUAUAUUGGAUACUGUGGUGUAAAGCACUUAAGUAAAAAUACUUUAAAGUACUACUUAAGUAAUUUUUUGUGGUAUCUGUAAUUUACUAUUUAUAUUUUGACAACUUUGACUUAUACUUCAUGUACUUUUUACUCCAUACAUUUUCCCUGACACCCAAAAGUGCAUGUUACAUUUUCAAUGCUUAGCAGGAGAGGAAAAUGGUAAAAUUAACAUACUUAUCAAGAGAACAUCUCUGGUCAUCCCUUCUGCCUCUGAUCUGGCACAUUCAUUUAACACACAUGCUUAAUUUGUAAAUUAUGUUCCCCUGGCUAUCUGUAAAAAAAUAUAUAUAUAUAAAUGGUGCUGUUUGGUUUGCUUAAUAUAAGCAAUUUGAAAUUAUUUAUACUUUUACUUUUGAUACUUAAGUACAUUUUAGCAAUUACAUUUACUUUUGAUACUUAAGUAUAUUUAAAACCAAAUACCUUUGGACUUUUACUCAAGUAGUAUUUUACUGGGUGACUUUCACUUUUACUUGAGUCAUUUUCUAUUAAGGUAUCUUUACUUUUACCCAAGUAUGACAAUUGGAUACCUUUUCCACCACUGAUUGGAUAUAUGCUGUAUGUUCAAUCAACUCAAGAGGAUAAAUCCUGAAGAUGGAACAAUGUGCAUAACAAUGUGGUCCAGAGGAAGCCAGCUUUUUGUUCUCAAUCCCUACCUUGCCCCAUUCUUCCAAGAGCUCACUGAGUUUGAAUGAAAACCUUGAGUGAGGUAAGUACAGAUACUCACAACUCCAGCCUGAUAUGUCCCUUGUCCCCUGUCUUUUUACCCACAGUGUAACAGCCCUGGUGCUCUCUGUCUCUGUCUAUUCUUUCUUUUUCUAUGCUUGUCCUAGGGGUGAGAAGAGCUAACAAAUGUUGUGGGAAAUUGCAAGAUUAUGUUAUAAUGCUUGUAAGAUUAUAUUGUAAUCUUUGUAUUGCAUUAGAAUGGUUGUUUUAUUCGACAGAAUAGAGUAUUCUGUUAACUAUUGUGUGUGUGUGUUCCACUGAGGAUGGGCCUCUGAGAUAGCACUGACAGAGGAGAUUUACGAUGUCUUUGGGUAAUAAAGCCUAAAGAGCAGUCCAGAUAACAUGAGGUAAUGUUUUUGCGCUAUACCGUACCAGGGUAAGACAGGUUCCAGUUUGGAGUAGGAGAGGGCCAGACACUAGUCUUUAUAAUGAGAACUGUUGACACAGCAGUAACUGUCUGCUAUGUUUUAUAGAUAUAUUUCAUACAAAUCUUAACCUUUGUGAACUGUUCCUAAGAUCUGUGGUUCAUCAUGUAAGUUGAGAGGGGUGUAUGUUGGCUAUAAAAGAUCUUUGUACUUUCUGGUGCUUUUCAAUGGUUCAUUAGAGAUAGCGCAUCAUUGAAAGUCAAAAAGGCUAUUGCAAAGCUCUUGAUAAAAAUAUGUAAUUUAAGUGUAACUCUGACUGGUGUUGUGAAGUUUAACUCUCUUCUCAUUUGGUAAAGCAGAAAAAUGCCACCACUCAAAUCAUAAUUGAGGAGGUUUGUUAAAGAGCCCCAUCAUGAACAACUGAUGCUGCGCUGAUUUCUCUCUCCUGGAUGCGCUCUGGCCCAAACUGUCCUGUUGUGUGUUUCCCCUCCUCUGGACCCACUUAACCCAACAGAGUUGCCCCUGAUCAUAGAACGGGCUGCAUCACAGCCUGGUAAAGGCAACUCCACCACCGCAGACAGCAAGGCGCUUUAGAGGGCGAUACACGCAGCCGAACGCACCAUUGGGUCCAGGGUCCACACUGCCUGCCAUCCAGGACACCUACAAUACCAGGUGUCGCAGGAAGGCGAAGAAGAACAUCAGGGACCUCAGCCAUCCAAGCCAUGGCCUGUUAGCCCCGUUUCUAUUCAUCAGACGCGGGUAGCACAGGAGUAUUAUGGCAAAGACUGGCCAACAAUUCCUACCCCUAGACCAUCAGGCUGCUGAAUAGCCACCACUACCUGCCCCCCCACACCCCAAUGACAUUCAUCACUGCUGCAGUUAAUACAGUAUGUACUGUAUAUUUGUAUAAUUAUUGUUUUAUUUCACUUGGCCCCAACACCCCCUUCAAUGGCCAUUUAGCCACAAUGGAUAUUCAUUUAGUUAUCACUGCUACAGUUAUUAUGUAUAUAGUACUAUUUCUAUUUUUCUUAUUACCAUUUUCAUUGUUUUAUUUCACUUAGUUCUGCAUGUUGGAGUUCUGAAUCGGAAGAUCUAGGAUUGUACCCAAUCCCAAUUUUAACUCUGUCUCCCUCUCUCUCUUUGUCCCUCUCUCCCCCACAGCCAACAGGCACACAAUAUAGUUUUUACAUUAGUGUUGUAAUGAUUCUCUUAUUUGGUUACAUAUGUGUUAACUUCUUGUUCCUUCUAUUGCAAUUCUGUUGUUAAUUCAUUUUUUAAUGUUGUUACCAAUUUGAAUAAAUGUAUUUUCAUGUACAAAUGUAUUUUUCUUUCAUUUAGAUUACAGGUAGAAUUUCACUGUAAAUGUACAGCAUUAUCCUGGAACCAGAGUUGCCAGCUUAAUACUGUAAUUUUGCUUUACAAUACUAUUUUCCUUACUGUAAAACAUUACAGCAUCCCUGUACAUUUACAGCAAGGAUGCUGUAAUAUGUUUUUACAGUAAGGAAAAUAGUACUGUAAAACAUAUUACAGCAUCUCUGCUGUAAAGCAAAAUUAUAGUAUUAAGCUGGCCACUGUGGUGCCAUGUAAUGCUGUAAAUUUACAGGGAAAAGUUUUACAGUGCUGUUGUCUUGAAAGCACCAUAAAUCCAGAGAAUGUCAGACUUUGAUGACAAAAUUUGCCCACGAAGGACCGUCGUGCCACCUUCCUCUUCAAGUGAGCACAUCACGUUGAGUCCAAAAAUGUAUUGUAUGCUACUGCAUACAUGAUGUAAUAUGCCAGUGAGAUAUGUAUACUAUAGCAAAUAAAGUAAUAUGAAGUGUAUGUUGUGUAGUAAGCUGUUAGUGGCCCAUGUGCCUCGCGCUAAUAAUUUGGUCUAUUUUCACCUCUUAAUUUCACCUACUGUUCUGACUUGGUGGCGCAUAUGCAGCCUAUAACCUUUUUUGGAGAAAUGUGAUCAUUGAAUAUUGUAAGAGCUUUCAUUGUCUGCUUAUGUCCUUCCUAGCUCACACAUUAAUGUCUUAAUUGAAAUUACGGAUUGCCUCUUAUCCGCUUAUCGUCCCCUUAUGCCAUAGUUUGUACAUCUCAAUUGUCAGUAGAAACCACAUUUGUUUCAGCAAUUCAGCUAAUAUGGCUAUGGUUUUUUUAAAGCCUGUAAAUGAGGCUGAAUGAACUGUUUCACUGCCAGACAAGGCUCUGCUGAUAGCCAGGUGUAGCAGUGGUAUAGUGCAAUGAAUGUAUUGUUUAGUGUUGGGUAGUGGCUUUGCUGGCACGCAUCCCACAUAUAUAUAUUUUUUGCCCCACCAAGAUUUACAUGCUAAAAUCGCCGCUCACACACACACACACACACACACACACACACAAAUCAGAACCAUGGACAGCCACGUCAUAUUUAGCUUGCGUUGAUUGGACUAAAUAGUUUUUGUAAUCUUUUAGUUGCCACUGUAUUAGAUUAAGUUGAAAUGGUCCUGGAAUAGUGGAGGCAGCUCCUGUUUUCUUUGCGACUUGCGGUAUCUCCCUGUGGUUCUAAAUCAAUAGUUGUAUAGUGGUCCGAAAAUGUCAAACAAUAACUAUCUGUUACUGUACCUGCAAUAUGCUUUGUGG